GUGGGCGUAGCUCAGUUGGUAGAGCGUCGGCUUGUGGAGCCGAAUGUCGCCGGUUCAAGCCCGGUCGUCCACCCCA
rnacentral:tRNA from 1 species